AUGUUGGUUAAACCCCUUCCUUUACCA
rnacentral:tRNA from 1 species